ACCGAAUUGGUGUAGGGGUUAACAUUCGGGAUUCUCAUCUAUUAGAGUAAAUCUCCCGAGCCAGGAGUUCGAGUCUCCUAUUCGGUG